rnacentral:lncRNA from 1 species
UUAUUUUCCAAGGUACACUCAAUUGUUGUUUGAAGGUGGAUUAUCACCAGACAUCCUUUGAAUGGUACGCCCACUAUCAGCAGCCUUACAGUGUGCUUCAUAAAUACAUCAACCCCUGAAAUAACAUUAUCGUUGGAAAUUGUGUUUUUGUUCUCCACUUUUAUUAUCCACAUGGAAUUUUCACACUACUUCAUUACCUUCAUGAAAAACCAGGUGUGAUAUUUUAUCGUUCUGGAAAAAGGAUUAGAAUACUUUUAUUUUUUCCAGAAUUUCCAAAACUGGGAAUUGUCCAAAGAUUUGUUAAAGCUGAUAAAUGUCAACAGGCACGCUCUGAGUAGAAAGGAAACGCGGUUUGCCUUACAAUUUUAUCAUCCUGGAAAAAGGAUUCUGGAAAUUGAUGAGUUCUAAUAUACAGCUGGUUUUCAGAAUGAGCUUCCGAUUUGAAGUUGUGAGUGUUUUAUCGAAUUAUGGAUUCCUACUUUGAAAACAAAAUUAUUUGCUUCUACAAAUGGUUUUUGAAAUCUUCGCGAAGCCUUUAACUAACGUUAUACUAAAAAAUUCUCAUGGGAGGAAGUUCUUUCAGGAUCUGUUAUCGACCAUCUAUGUUAUGCAGUAAUUGGAUCUGCAGUUUAGUUAGAAACUUUAACUUAGAAAUGUGCUCAGCAUAGAAUUUAUAUAAAAAAAGAUAUUUAAUUGGAAAAAGUUCCUGGUUGAGACGAGAUAAAAAAAAUUGUACUGUUUAGAAGGACGACCUGCAAUUUCAAGAUUCAUUUAUUUCCUUCCACAUUAUAGUAUUUCUAUAUUUAAAAAAAAAUUAAUUGCAUAUCUGGGCUCCCUUCUUUUCUGUGGCCCCGUUUCCCCUUGACUCUGUAAUAAGCCCGUUGGGGGUCAUGGCCCCUACUGUGAUCAGCAGUAAAGGUUGUGAGUGCGCUGUCCGGAAAGGGGACGUGGGGGUCCUCAAGUUCUAUGAUAUCAUUGGAGGGCGAAGAGGCUACCCACAAAUCCGAAUUAACGGUUAAUCGCUCACGUAAAAACUUGUCCGAAUCCUUCUAUCCUCUUCCGGCUUCUCUUAGCCACGCACCGGGUAAUCUCCCCGGUGGUUCAAUUCAGUGAAAUUUGUUGUACAUGUAUACUGUAUCAAGAAUAAAAAUAU